CCCAAGGAUGAGUGGCUUGGGCUUUUAUUAUAGAAUAGUAACAGGGAAUGGUUGUUUUUCUUUCUUUCUUUCUUUCUUUCUUUGUUUUCUCUGCUAGGCUGGCUGUAUCAGACUUCUUGGAAUGUGGUCUGGCAGAUGUGGAGGAGGGUUAUGCUCCUUUGUCUGUCUGUUCAGUACUUUUCAAGUCCUUUAAAACAAACUCUUAAAGACAACAAGUUAAUCCACAGUGGUUAAACAAUCAAAGGGCCACUGUGUGCAUGAUUUUUCCCUUUUUUAAAUUAUAGUUGGCUUAUUAACAAUGCCAUCCUUUCAGUGAGCCACAGGGGAGGACAUAUAGAAUGCUGGAGUACAGAGGUGCUAGGUUGCCACCCUCAGUACCAUGCCUUAUGAUUAUGAGAUCAUAAUUGGGCCGAGCCCUUUGCCGGGUGGAAGAGUUGAGAACUUGACUACAAUUUGGUGAUGUUUCUCUGAAAUACAGCUGCCGGAGGCUCCCAGUCCUGCAUCCCGCUGUUUCAGCACCAGAAGGAGACUGAUAUUUCCUCCAUCUGAUUCCAAAUUUCGCAACACCAGAGGAGACUCGGAUCGGCUCAGCUUGGGCAGGUUUCUUUGCUGUCUUAUUUGCCAUUGUACACACCAUCUGGCACAUGGUAAAACAUAAACAUGUUAAACAAAUACUGGAUGCGAGGGAGACAAAGAAGGCCUAGUCAAGGAUGACUCCUGAGUUUGGGUGACAAGUGGGAUGGUGAAAUCACUAACUCAACCAGGCUUCAGAGAACCAACAGCAGACCUGGAGGGCCUAAAGACAUGACUUAACAGAUGACAGUGUAAACAUUAGACUCAGACUGUCUGGAUUUGAAUUCUAGCUCCACUACAGACCAGCUAUGUAGCUGUGGAGUCAAGUUAUUUCAACUUUCAAAGCCUCAGUUUCCCCAUCCAUAACAAUGGCGAUAACAGUAACACCCAGUUUAUAGGGCUCAUUAUGAAAAUUAAAUAAAAUACACUGUGCAAAGUGUCCAAGAA